rnacentral:lncRNA from 1 species
UGAAUAGUCUUUCUGGAUGAGUAGUCCUUCUCAUUUUUGCAAUUUCUGCAUGGACAAUAAAUAAAACUAGAUGGUAGUUUGUUGAAUUCUGCCAGAUCAAGAAAAACCACGCAAGCCAUUAAUGUACUCCAUGGAGCAUUUGUCUGCGUUGUACAUCCAUCACCGAUUCAUCUACAAAGUAUUACCAAACCAAAGAUAUUUUGAUCAUCCAUACAGUUAUACAUCAAACAUAACAAACA